CUCCAUCACACCGCAUGGUGUGUUGGGAAAGCCUUUGCGGCAUGGGAUGGGGUCGCGUCCUAUCAGCUUGAUGGCGGGGUAACGGCCCACCAUGGCUUCGACGGGUAGCCGGCCUGAGAGGGCGACCGGCCACAUUGGGACUGAGAUACGGCCCAGACUCCUACGGGAGGCAGCAGUGGGGAAUAUUGCACAAUGGGCGCAAGCCUGAUGCACCGACGCCGCGUGAGGGAUGGAGGCCUUCGGGUUGUAAAAUUCUUUUGUUAGGGAGCAAGGCACUUUGUGUUGAGUGUACCUUUCGAAUAAGCACCGGCUAACUACGUGCCAGCAGCCGCGGUAAUACGUAGGGUGCAAGCGUUAUCCGGAAUUAUUGGGCGUAAAGGGCUCGUAGGCGGUUCGUCGCGUCCGGUGUGAAAGUCCAUCGCUUAACGGUGGAUCCGCGCCGGGUACGGGCGGGCUUGAGUGCGGUAGGGGAGACUGGAA
rnacentral:rRNA from 1 species